rnacentral:lncRNA from 1 species
ACUCUCACCGCUCUGAGCCUACGUGUGCGGUUGCUCGGUGGGCAAAUGCUCGGAGCUGCCUUUGAAAACUGGAGCACGAGAGCAGCACAGUCAUGAAGCAGGACUGGGCUGCCACCUCCCGCGGGCCUGCCUGGAGGGAGGGCAAGGACACCAGGGCCACCAGAUGAUCCCGCCGCGGCCCGGGGCUCAGGAAACUAUGCAUUCCUUAAUGCCACACACUGGCCUAAGAACACCGUGUGUUCGUUAAGGAGAGGUAUGAAAACCAAGGACCUGGUCAGCCAACUAGAACCCUGGAAUCGUCCUUUUCAAGACCUGGUGCUCCAACAUUCCUUGGCUUAACAGAGAGAAGCACCUGGGAAAAUGUGGGCAAGGCUGGAAGCCCAAGGGCAAGGAAGCCCAUCCACGGAGUCCCAACACGUGAGGUUCUGGGCUGCCAAGAGUGGGAGAAGGGGCACAUGGUUCUCGAAGAGCAAAUAGAAGACCUCCAGCCUGUCCCAUAAGAGGAGAGCAGCCACUCCGAAGCCCCUCACUUCACCUUGGGACAACCCUGCCUGCUGGAAACUUCCCAGUCAACCUGGGGGUCCAUACAGAACAGGAGGCCUAACUCCUCAUCCCCCUGGCGAUGCUUUCAACAGAGGACAGGAGUCCACAUGUCUCACAGCCAAGUGCAGGCCUCAGAGCUGUUGAGACCUUAGUUUCAUCCUUGACCCCAGGGUCCAAUGGAAAUUGAAAUAUAGGGGCUACAUAUUGGUUCUCAACCAGGGGUGUUCUUGCCCCCCAGGAGAUACUGGCAAUGUCUGGAGACAUUUUUCAUGCUCACAACUUGGGGAGAGGGGUGCUACUGGCCUCUGCCGCUAAACAUCCUACAGUGCGCAGGAUGCCCCCACAACAUAGAAAGAUGCGGCCCCAAAAGGCACCAGUGCCAAGGAAGAGACACUCAGUGGGAACUGUCUGUGCAAGGCUGUCACUCUCAGACGGUCCCAGGAACCACACCCCGAAGCUCCGCUGGUGUAUCUGGGCGGAAUCUCCGUUUUCAGGAUGAGCUAAUACAGAAAGCGCACUCGGGCCCUUUGAGAGCAGGGAGAGGGGAGAGGAGCUUGUGGGGCAGAGUUGCAGGGGCAAGGCGGGUGGCAGGAGAAGAAGGGCCCUUCGCCUGCCUUUGGAAUGGCUGUGGCUGGCCAGUGCCCCUGCCUCUGAGCUCACGGCUGGGCUGGGCAGGGGCCGAGCGGUCAGGGUGCAGAGGGGACCAGCGCCAGCUACUCCACAGUGUCACAUCCCACAUCAGCCUUUAGCAGGCAAGCAUGUAAACAAGACUAGCCACGAGAAACAUAAGAAAGGAAUAAAAGUUGUUUGGUCUGCUGUCAGGAACAGAUUGUUGGAAUAUUCCAACCCCAGUCCAAAAGGAACAACCAACAAUAACAACCAAGAGACCGCAUCCGACAUUUAGAUACACCAAGCCUGCGUUUUCCGUGUGCAGAACCAUUUCCAAGAGGACCAGCCGCUGGCACCAUCCUCCUCUGUUUUUACCAAGGCCCAGGGAGCACUGUCCAAUCACCUAAAAAUAUAAAAAUGUCAACUCUGACCAUGUAUCGAGAGUAGUGAGCUUAGCUUCUACUCAGACCAGCGAGUGUGAAUAUUUUGAUACACAUUUUCUGUCAAACAGUAAUUCCUCCUUUAUUUGGCCUUUAUAGCUCAAUCGGAAAUAGUUGUUUUUUAAGUGCAUCUUCCAGAUACCUGGCAUUACCUUAUUUAAGAAUAACCUUACUGAUGUAAUCUUUGGGAGUAAAAAGUUUUCUAAAAGGUGUAUGUUUCCUUUGCUUCAAUAAAGAAAGUAUAUUGACAGGAAUUCUGUCUUUUAAAGUGACUCGGGGCAGUUACUAUAAUGUAAUAAUAAGGAAAUAAUAAGAUGUCUUCAGACCUAGGAGCAGUUCCCCGGCACUAAACAAACCCAGAUCGUGCUUGAUUGAUUGAUUGAUUGAUCAAUUGAUUGAUGAAUUCUUGUGUGUCUCCGGCCACUGCCUUCUUCUGGCUGAACCCAGUGAGAAGCUAAGGAGCAGAAGGGAAGCCCAGGGACCAGCUUCUCAGGACACAGAGCUAAGCAGAAAAGGGGGGAAAAUGAGUGUGAAUGGAUGGGGAGGCAGACAGAAAAGAACUGGCAAGUUUAGCUAUUAUGAAUUAUUGCAUGAGCCACAAAGUCACCAAAGUCCUGGGGGCCCUAGUGUGGAUGAACUUGACGUGGCAUCAGCUGUAGAACCAGAAAGGGACUUGCCCCUCGAACCACACUUGUUCUGAAGAAAUGUACCUUCACCACAGACCUUUAGCAGCACUGAGGGGUGGUUCCGCAUGGCUGUGGGCAAAAGUCCAAUUUUUUAAAUAUGUCAUAAGCUCCUUGGGUAUUUCAGGGCUCGGUGUACAAACCCGCAUCCCUGCGGACUAACUCCUGCCUGGGCCCUUUUCUCACUUGCUCAGCCGGGUCUCUUUCCCACCCCCUGCCCCUGUGCUUCAGAAAGCAGAGCUGCUGGCUCGCUUCCUUUGCUAAUUGAAACACAUUCCUGAGUCUGACUUGCAGCAUACUUAGGAAUUUCUUCCUCCAUCCGUUCCCCACCCCCAGACACCACCUCUUUAUUCUCACUCAUGAAUGUUGACCUUUUGUCCAAUAAAGGCUUUAGUCUUCCAGCCGCCCACUUUCUACUCAAGCAGCCAUUCUUGGUUGUGUUUACACUUGACAUACAAAACAGCCCUUGGAGUCUUCACGACCUCUGAGUACUAAGCUGCUUAAGUAGAAGCAGAAGUCUGUCUUCCAGCAGCUUCUAUUCAAAGUAUAAGGGGGAAGGACCUGCACGAGGUGGCAGAUGGCCUUCCCUGUGGACAUCUAUGCAGGGUGGCAGUUUCCUCUCCAUGUUUGGCCACUGUGCCAUACUGCAAACAAAAACGAUUAACUUACAGAUUCACGCCUGGGUGCAUUGGGAACCUUCGCGUACUGCGCUGGUAACACAGGCUUGGUUGCACUGGAGCCCCUGCUAUGACCCUGUCCUUGUUUCCAUCAUCAGGUUUUUUCCAGAUCCUAUAACUAGAUAUUCCUUCACCAGAUUUAAUUGAACUAUUCGUCCUCAUUACUCCAUUAUGUUCAUUCCAAAUUCCUUUGGAUUCCUGCUUUCCAUCACAAACACAUUGUGCUAUAAUAACAGCCACUCGUUGGCUCUGUUCCCCCUCGGGAGCCUGGCAGAUGUUCCUACUGGGUUCUUCCGAGUAAAGAGCAGAUGAAACCCCUCCUGUUCUGCUCCCUGUACAUAGGUGCCCUUAAGCAAAAGCGUCGCUGGGGUGGGGGGCCAAUGCCCAAAGAAAGAGCCGGGGACUGAAGUGAAAAGAGACCUGGUGAGAUUUGAGUUGGCAGGAUUUUGACCACUGAUUUGAGGUCAGAGUGAGCCAGCAAGCAUUAGCAGCAGAAAUAGCAACACUCCUUUGUUGUCUAGCAGAAAUUGAUGCAACACUGUAAAUCAGCUAUACUUUAAUUUAAAAAGAAAUUUAAAAAAAGAAAUAGCCGCACUCAUUGACACGUAGGCCCUAGAGAUUCAAUAAAUCCUUUCCCUGAAGGAGCUUCCCUGUUAGAUAAGAAGGGAGGGGACUCACACACACUCACACACACAUACACACACACACACACACACACACACACUCCUAAUAAUGCAAGCUAGCAUAGGAUGAAUGUCAAUUAAAUAAUAUAUAAAUAGUAAUAAUUGAAUUGUAUUUUAAAAAUCUGUAAUGUAGGCAUUUCCCUUAAUCAAGACUGGUUUUCUACCCCUGUAAUUUUCAUUUCAGUGGGUAGAGGUGUAAUUUUUCACUAUACGUCUUGAUCCAUCUCUGUUUUUAUAUGUGUCACUUUAAUGGCUGAAAGAUGUCUCUCAUUUCCGAAUCUAGUUUAUGGAUUGACAUUUUGAAUUCAUGACAUAUCCACAAAUUUACCCAAGAUGCAUCUAUCAGUGUGUGAAGACUUGUCUUGGGAUGAUGUCAAGAUUAGAAUACUUUAAAGUAGAAAAUAUCUAUAAAUAACUCCCUAUUUGACUGAGUUGAAGUGUAUGUUUUAGAUCUUCAAUUCUCAUCUUUUUUAAGCUAUAGCAAAGCCAAUAACCCCAGGAACAUCCCUCCCUCCAGUUUGUCCACCUGCGUCACUAGAAAAGACAAGGUCCAAUACUGAGGAAUAGGAUCCACGUUGAAGAAUGUCUUAGCUUUCAGCUCAUAAUGAUGAACAGUAUUACCAAGUAAAUGACUGUCCUAGGGACACCUGCUCUGUUUGCUCUGAUGCUAUGUUGGCAUUUUUAUCACAGCACCUCUCACAAGAUGCUGUGCUUGCGCCUGUGCACAUGGUGGCCUCCUCCCAGGACCGUGAGUUCUUGAAGAAUAUGUGGUGGCUCUUACUCAGCUUGGCCUUCCCAACAAUGCUUUGUGUCCAGCAGACCAGGGAAGGUUGAAUGGAUAAACUGAUCUAAUAAUUGAUUAAUGGAAAAUGGGAAGUCUUAGGCAGUCACAUUCCUGUAGAGCAGUAAUAGAUUUAGGAUUAAUUGUGGAAAAGAGUUCCUGCUGUGGCUCAGUGGUAACACACCCAACUAUUAUCCACGAGGAUGCAGGUUUGAUCCCUGGCCCCGCACAGUGGGUUAAGGAUCGGGCGUUGCCACGAGCUAUGGUGUAGGUCACAGACAUGCCUUGGACCUGGCAUUGCUGUGGCUGUGGCAUUUGCCAGCAGCUGCAGCUCUGAUUUGACCCCUAGCCUAGGAACUUCUAUAUACUGUGGGUACAGCUCUAAAAAAGACCAAAACAAAACAAAACAAAAACACCAAAAAAACACACCAAAAAAAAAAAAAACAAAAAA